AUACCGCGAAACUGCGAAUGGCUCAUUAAAUCAGUUAUCGUUUAUUUGAUAGUACCUUACUACUUGGAUAACCGUGGUAAUUCUAGAGCUAAUACAUGCUAAAAAUCCCGACUCACGGAGGGAUGUAUUUAUUAGAUUAAAAACCAAUGCCCUUCGGGGCUCCUUGGUGAUUCAUAAUAACUUCUCGAAUCGCAUGGCCUUGUGCCGGCGAUGGUUCAUUCAAAUUUCUGCCCUAUCAACUUUCGAUGGCAGGGUCUUGGCCUGCCAUGGUUACAACGGGUAACGGAGGGUUAGGGCUCGACCCCGGAGAAGGAGCCUGAGAAACGGCUACUACAUCCAAGGAAGGCAGCAGGCGCGCAAAUUACCCAAUCCCGAUUCGGGGAGGUAGUGACAAUAAAUACUGAUACAGGGCUCUUUUGGGUCUUGUAAUUGGAAUGAGUACAAUUUAAAUCCCUUAACGAGUAACAAUUGGAGGGCAAGUCUGGUGCCAGCAGCCGCGGUAAUUCCAGCUCCAAUAGCGUAUAUUAAAGUUGUUGCAGUUAAAAAGCUCGUAGUUGAACCUUGGGCCUGGCUGGCCGGUCCGCCUCACCGCGUGCACUGGUUCGGCCGGGCCUUUCCCUCUGGGGAUCCCCAUGCCCUUCACUGGGUGUGGCGGGGAACCAGGACUUUUACUGUGAAAAAAUUAGAGUGUUCAAAGCAGGCCUAUGCUCGAAUACAUUAGCAUGGAAUAAUAGAAUAGGACGUGCGGUUCUAUUUUGUUGGUUUCUAGGACCGCCGUAAUGAUUAAUAGGGACAGUCGGGGGCAUCAGUAUUCAAUUGUCAGAGGUGAAAUUCUUGGAUUUAUUGAAGACUAACUACUGCGAAAGCAUUUGCCAAGGAUGUUUUCAUUAAUCAGGAACGAAAGUUAGGGGAUCGAAGACGAUCAGAUACCGUCGUAGUCUUAACCAUAAACU
rnacentral:rRNA from 5 species